GUGACAAGUUAACUAACCUGUUACUUGAAAGAUAUCCAAGAUAAUCGUUUUCAAAGCUAUACUCUGUCACAAUGUCGGUAUGUUUUGGGAGCAAGAAUUUUCUUUCAAGUAAAUAUUUGCAACUCAUUACACGGCUGGUUGGUAUAUUUUAUUGUGCGUAUAAAUGGUUUAAUAGCAGGAGGUCAAGCUUUAUUGCUUGUAAUAUUUCUGCUUUUUGUGGGCGACAGUCAUUUAGUAUGAUCUAGAAAUAUUUUGAUCGAUGAGGAUACCAUCGACUAAAAUAGCAGUUCA